UAGUAGCUAAACCUAAGGGUAAGGUUGCUGCUGCUGUUGCUCCUGCUAAAGCUAAAGCGGCGGCUAAAGGAACUAAGAAGCCUGCGGCUAAAGUUGUUGCUAAGGCUAAGGUUACUGCUAAACCUAAGGCUAAGGUUACUGCUGCUAAACCUAAGUCUAAGUCUGUUGCUGCUGUUUCCAAGACUAAAGCUGUUGCUGCUAAGCCUAAGGCUAAGGAGAGACCAGCUAAAGCUUCUAGGACUUCGACUAG
rnacentral:lncRNA from 1 species